CUUGGUUCUGGGGACAAAGACAAUCCCCGGACAGAGGGUCCAUCAGGACCUCCCUCCUGCCCCUGUGUUGAAAGGGAACUUCUCUAUGGUGCCUGAGCUUCUCUAUAGUCUCCAGGGGCACUGGGAAAAUCACAAAGGGGACAAAGUUUUCUCAGGAGCUCCCCCUGCUCCUUUCUUUGUCUCCCUUUCCGGACCUACUCCAACACUCUCUUUUUUAUUUAUUUAUUUAUUUUAUUUUUUAUUUUUUGAGACAAGAGUCUCGCUGUCGCCCAGGCUGGAGUGCAGUGGCGCCAUCUGGGCUCACUGCAAGCUCCGCCUCCUGGGUUCACACCAUCCUCCUGCCUCAGCCUCCCGAGUAGCUGGGACUACAGGCGUGUGCCACCAUGCCCUAACUUUUGUAUUUUUAGUAGAGACGGGGUUUCACUAUGUUGGCCAGGCUCGUCUCAAGCUUGUGACCUUGUGAUCCACCCAUCUUGGCCUCUCAAAGUGCUGGGAUUAUAGGCGUGAGCCACCACAUCCAGCAAGUGUCUUCUUCUUAUUCAGUUGUUAAGAGUUCCUUCCAUAUUCUGGAUACAAGUCUCUUAUUAUAAAUAUGAACGCAAAAUUUUUUUCAGGAAAACAAGUAGAAUGAAUAACUAUUUCAGAAAAGGACUAUUAAAACUGAUAUCACGAAGUGACCGGAAAUAAAGACCAAUAAUAAAGAAAAAAAUUUUAGAUACUCUCCAAAAAUGUUAUUUUCUUGGCUGGGCGCGGUGGCUCACGCCUGUAAUCCCAGCACUUUGGGAGGCCAAGGCGGGCGGAUCACGAGGUCAGGAGAUCAAGACCCUUCUGGCUAACACGGUGAAACCCUGUCUCUACUAAA
rnacentral:lncRNA from 1 species